rnacentral:rRNA from 1 species
UACGUAGGGUGCGAGCGUUAAUCGGAAUUACUGGGCGUAAAGUGUGCGCAGGCGGCACCGCAAGUCGAGUGUGAAAGCCCCGGGCUUAACUUGGGAAUUGCGCUCGAAACUAUGGUGCUGGAGUGUGGCAGAGGAAGGUGGAAUUCCACGUGUAGCGGUGAAAUGCGUAGAGAUGUGGAGGAACACCGAUGGCGAAGGCAGCCUUCUGGGCCAACACUGACGCUGAGAAGCGAAAGCGUGGGGAGCGAACAGG